AUUGAACGCUGGCGGCAGGCCUAACACAUGCAAGUCGAGCGGAUGAAGAGAGCUUGCUCUCUGAUUCAGCGGCGGACGGGUGAGUAAUGCCUAGGAAUCUGCCUGAUAGUGGGGGACAACGUUUCGAAAGGAACGCUAAUACCGCAUACGUCCUACGGGAGAAAGCAGGGGACCUUCGGGCCUUGCGCUAUCAGAUGAGCCUAGGUCGGAUUAGCUAGUUGGUGAGGUAAUGGCUCACCAAGGCGACGAUCCGUAACUGGUCUGAGAUGAUGAUCAGUCACACUGGAACUGAGACACGGUCCAGACUCCUACGGGAGGCAGCAGUGGGGAAUAUUGGACAAUGGGCGAAAGCCUGAUCCAGCCAUGCCGCGUGUGUGAAGAAGGUCUUCGGAUUGUAAAGCACUUUAAGUUGGGAGGAAGGGCAUUAACCUAAUACGUUAGUGUUUUGACGUUACCGACAGAAUAAGCACCGGCUAACUUCGUG
rnacentral:rRNA from 1 species